UUCAUUAGGGUUUUCUAUACAUAAGAUCACGUCAAGACACCCUCAGACCACAGGGGGCUGCCAAGAGCCCGGCCCAGUGCAGCUCCAGCGCCCACGUCGCCAAGGAUACACAGUGCUGACGCAAUACUCAAGUUCGUCACAGUGGUUCUCCGCCGGCUACACCGCUGCGUGACUGGCUUGCAGGCACUUUCCUCUUGGAAGUGGCGACUGCUGCCGGGCUGAGCGGUGCUCUCACGCGUCUCGGGAGCCAGGUUGGCGUCUCGGGAGCCAGGUUGGCGGCGCGAUGAGGCGCAGCAAGGCUGACGUGGAGCGGUACGUCGCCUCGGUGCUGGGCUGCACCCCGUCGCCUCGACAGAAGUCAAUGAAAGGAUUCUAUUUUGCAAAGCUGUAUUUUGAAGCUAAAGAAUAUGAUCUUGCUAAAAAAUACAUAUGUACUUACAUUAAUGUGCAACAGUGGGAUCCCAGAGCUCACAGAUUUCUGGGUCUUCUUUAUGAAUUGGAAGAAAACACAGAGAAAGCCAUUGAAUGUUACAGGCGUUCAGUGGAAUUAAACCCAACACAAAAAGAUCUUGUGUUGAAGAUUGCAGAAUUGCUUUGUAAAAAUGAUGUUACUGAUGGAAGAGCAAAAUACUGGGUUGAAAGAGCAGCUAAAUUUUUCCCAGGAAGUCCUGCAAUUUAUAAACUAAAGGAACAGCUUCUAGAUUGUGAAGGUGAAGAUGGAUGGAAUAAACUUUUUGACUUGAUUCAGUCAGAACUUCAUGUAAGACCUGAUGACGUCCAUGUGAACAUCCGGCUAGUGGAGUUGUAUCGCUCAACUAAAAGAUUGAAGGAUGCUGUGGCCCACUGCCAUGAGGCAGAGAGGAACAUAGCUUUGCGUUCAAGUUUAGAGUGGAAUUCGUGUGUUGUACAGACCCUUAAGGAAUAUCUGGAGUCUUUACAGUGUUUGGAGUCUGAUAAAAGUGACUGGCGAGCAACCAAUACAGACUUACUGCUGGCCUACGCUAAUCUUAUGCUUCUUACGCUUUCCACUAGAGAUGUGCAGGAAAGUAGAGAAUUACUGGAAAGUUUUGAUAGUGCUCUUCAGUCUGCGAAAUCUUCUUUGGGUGGAAAUGAUGAACUGUCAGCUACUUUCUUAGAAAUGAAAGGACAUUUCUAUAUGUAUGCUGGUUCUCUGCUCUUGAAGAUGGGUCAGCAUGGUAAUAAUGUUCAAUGGCGAGCUCUUUCUGAGCUGGCUGCAUUGUGCUAUCUCAUAGCAUUUCAGGUUCCAAGACCAAAGAUUAAAUUAAUAAAAGGUGAAGCUGGACAAAAUCUGCUGGAAAUGAUGGCCUGUGACCGACUGAGCCAAUCAGGGCACAUGUUGCUAAGCUUAAGUCGUGGCAAGCAAGAUUUCUUAAAAGAGGUUGUUGAAACUUUUGCCAACAAAAGCGGGCAGUCUGCGUUAUAUGAUGCUCUGUUUUCUAGUCAGUCACCUAAGGAUACAUCUUUUCUUGGUAGCGAUGAUAUUGGAAACAUUGAUGUACGAGAACCAGAGCUUGAAGAUUUGGCUAGAUACGAUGUUGGUGCUAUUCGAGCACAUAAUGGUAGUCUUCAGCACCUUACUUGGCUCGGCUUACAGUGGAAUUCAUUGCCUGCUUUACCUGGAAUCCGAAAAUGGCUAAAACAGCUUUUCCAUCGUUUGCCCCAUGAAACCUCAAGGCUUGAAACAAAUGCGCCUGAAUCAAUAUGUACUUUAGAUCUUGAAGUAUUUCUCCUUGGAGUAGUAUAUACCAGCCACUUACAAUUAAAGGAGAAAUGUAAUUCUGACCACAGCUCCUAUCAGCCGUUAUGCCUGCCCCUUCCUGUAUGUAAACAGCUUUGUACAGAAAGACAAAAAUCUUGGUGGGAUGCGGUUUGUACUCUGAUUCACAGAAAAGCACUACCUGGAAACAUAGCAAAAUUGAGACUUCUAGUUCAGCAUGGAAUAAACACUCUAAGAGCCCAGGAAAAACAUGGCCUUCAACCUGCUCUGCUUGUACAUUGGGCAAAAUGCCUUCAGAAAAUGGGCAGCGGUCUUAAUUCUUUUUAUGAUCAACGAGAAUACAUAGGGAGAAGUGUUCAUUAUUGGAAGAAAGUUUUGCCAUUGUUGAAGAUAAUAAAGAAGAACAGUAUUCCUGAACCUAUUGAUCCUCUGUUUAAACAUUUUCAUAGUGUAGACAUUCAGGCAUCAGAAAUUGUUGAAUAUGAAGAAGACGCACACAUAACUUUUGCUGUAUUGGAUGCAGUAAAUGGAAAUAUAGAAGAUGCUGUGACUGCUUUUGAAUCUAUACAAAGUGUUGUUUCUUAUUGGAAUCUUGCACUGAUUUUUCACAGGAAGGCAGAAGACAUUGCAAAUGAUGCCCUUUCUCCUGAAGAACAAGAAGAAUGCAAAAAUUAUCUGACAAAGACCAGGGACUACCUAAUAAAGAUUAUAGAUGACAGUGAUUCAAAUCUUUCAGUGGUCAAGAAAUUGCCUGUGCCCCUGGAGUCUGUAAAAGAGAUGCUGAAGUCAGUCCUGCAGGAACUCGAAGCCUAUAGUGAAGGAGGUCCUCUCUAUACAAAUGGUUCUUUGCGAAAUGCAGAUUCAGAAAUAAAACAUUCUCCACCGUCUCCUACCGGAUAUUCACUAUCACCAAGUAAAAGUUACAAGUAUUCUCCCAAAAUACCACGUCGAUGGACAGAAGAUCAGAUUUCUUUACUGAAAAUGAUUUCCCAACAAGUAGAGGCCAUUAAGAAAGAAAUGCAGGAGUCGCAACUAAAUAGCAGUAAGUCAGCAUCCCGUCAUCGUUGGCCCACAGAGAAUUAUGGACCAGACUCGGUGCCUGAUGGAUAUCAGGGGUCACAGACAUUUCAUGGGGCUCCACUAACAGUUGCAACUACUGGCCCUUCAGUAUAUUAUAGUCAGUCACCAGCAUAUAAUUCCCAGUAUCUUCUCAGACCAGCAGCUAAUGUUACUCCCACAAAGGGUUCUUCUAAUACAGAAUUUAAGUCAACCAAAGAAGGAUUUUCCAUCCCUGUGUCUGCUGAUGGAUUUAAAUUUGGCAUUUCAGAACCAGGAAAUCAAGAAAAGAAAAGUGAAAAGCCUCUUGAAAAUGAUACUGGCUUCCAGGCUCAGGAUAUUAGUGGCCAGAAUGGCCAUGGUGUGAUUUUUGGCCAAACAAGUGGCACUUUUACAUUUGCAGAUGUUGGAAAAUCAACUUCAGGAGAAGGAUUUCAGUUUGGCCAAAAAGACCCCAAUUUCAAGGGAUUUUCAGGUGCUGGAGAAAAAUUAUUCUCAUCACAAUGUGGUAAAAUGGCCAAUAAAGCAAACACUUCCGGUGACUUUGAGAAAGAUGAUGAUGCCUAUAAGACUGAGGACAGCGAUGACAUCCAUUUUGAACCAGUAGUUCAAAUGCCUGAAAAAGUAGAACUUGUAACCGGAGAAGAAGGUGAAAAAGUUCUGUAUUCACAGCGGGUAAAACUAUUUAGAUUUGAUGCUGAGAUAAGUCAGUGGAAAGAAAGGGGCUUGGGGAACUUAAAAAUCCUCAUAAAUGAGGUCAAUGGCAAACCAAGAAUGCUGAUGCGAAGAGACCAAGUACUAAAAGUGUGUGCUAAUCAUUGGAUAACAACUACAAUGAACCUGAAGCCCCUCUCUGGAUCAGAUAGAGUAUGGAUGUGGUUAGCCAGUGAUUUCUCUGAUGGUGAUGCCAAACUAGAGCAGUUGGCAGCAAAAUUUAAAACACCAGUGCUGGCUGAAGAAUUCAAGCAGAAAUUUGAGGAAUGCCAGCGGCUUCUGUUAGACAUACCACUUCAAACUCCCCAUAAACUUGUAGAUACUGGCAGAGCUGCCAAGUUAAUACAGAGAGCUGAAGAAAUGAAGAGUGGACUGAAAGAUUUCAAAGCAGUUUUGACAAAUGAUCAAACAAAAGUCACUGAGGAAGAAAAUAAGGGUUCAGGUACAGGUGCAGCCGGUGCCUCAGACACAACAAUAAAACCCAAUCCUGAAAACACUGGGCCCACAUUAGAAUGGGAUAACUAUGAUUUAAGGGAAGAUGCUUUGGAUGAUAAUGUUAGUAGUAGCUCAGUACAUGAUUCUCCGUUGGCAAGUAGCCCUGUGAGAGAAAAUCUUUUCUGCUCUGAUGAGUCGACAACAGGAUCUGACUUCAGUUUUAAAUCUGCUUUGAGUCUAUCUAAGUCUCCUGCCAAGUUGAAUCAGAGUGGGACUUCAGUUGGCACUGAUGAAGAAUCUGAUGUUACUCAAGAAGAAGAGAGAGAUGGACAGUACUUUGAACCUGUUCUUCCUUUACCUGAUCUAGUUGAAGUAUCCAGUGGUGAGGAAAAUGAACAAGUUGUUUUUAGUCACAGGGCAGAACUCUACAGAUAUGAUAAAGAUGUUGGUCAAUGGAAAGAAAGGGGCAUUGGUGAUAUAAAGAUUUUACAGAAUUAUGAUAAUAAGCAAGUUCGUAUAGUGAUGAGAAGGGACCAAGUAUUAAAACUUUGUGCCAAUCACAGAAUAACUCCAGACAUGAGUUUGCACAAUAUGAAAGGGACAGAAAGAGUAUGGGUGUGGACUGCAUGUGAUUUUGCAGAUGGAGAAAGAAAAGUAGAGCAUUUAGCUGUUCGUUUUAAACUACAGGAUGUUGCAGACUCGUUUAAGAAAAUUUUUGAUGAAGCAAAAACAGCCCAGGAAAAAGAUUCUUUGAUAACACCUCAUGUUUCUCGGUCAAGCACUCCCAGAGAGUCACCAUGUGGCAAAAUUGCUGUAGCUGUAUUAGAAGAAACCACAAGAGAGAGGACAGAUGUUAUUCAGGGUGAUGAUGUAGCAGAUGCAGCUUCAGAAGUUGAAGUGUCUAGCACAUCUGAAACAACAACAAAAGCGGUGGUUUCUCCUGCAAAGUUUGUAUUUGGUUCAGAGUCUGUUAAAAGCAUUUUUAGUAGUGAAAAAUCAAAACCAGUUGCAUUUGGCAACAGUUCUGCCACUGGGUCUUUGUUUGGAUUUAGUUUUAAUGCACCUUUGAAAAGUAACAAUAGUGAAACUAGUUCAGUAGCCCAGAGUGGAUCUGAAAGCAAAGUGGAACCUAAAAAAUGUGAACUGUCAAAGAACUCUGAUAUCAAACAGUCUUCAGAUAGGAAAGUCAAAAAUCUCUCUGCUUCCUUUCCAACGGAAGAAUCUUCAAUCAACUACACAUUUAAAACACCAGAAAAGGAGCCUCCAUUAUGGCAUGCUGAAUUUACCAAAGAAGAAUUGGUUCAGAAGCUCAGUUCCAUCACAAAAAGUGCAGAUCACUUAAACGGCCUGCUUCGGGAAACAGAGGCAGCCAAUGCAGUCCUUAUGGAGCAAAUUAAGCUUCUCAAAAGUGAAAUAAGAAGAUUGGAAAGGAAUCAAGAGCGAGAGAAGUCUGCAGCUAACCUGGAAUACUUGAAGAACGUCUUGCUGCAGUUCAUUUUCUUGAAACCAGGUAGUGAAAGACAGAGACUUCUUCCUGUUAUAAAUACGAUGUUGCAGCUCAGCCCUGAAGAAAAGGGAAAACUUGCUGCGGUUGCUCAAGGUGGGUAAAAGGAGAGUCUCAGAACUUCUGACUUCUAACUUAAACUAAACAGCCUGGUGGUUGAGAAGUUGUCUGUAUGUGUAACUUUUUAAUUUUGCUCAUUUGAAUUGGGUCUGUCAUAUGAGUAGGCCGUGACUAGAUUUGAAAAGCUGACUUUUUAACAUCUUGAGGCAACUGUAGUACAUUUAUAUAAUUUUAACGUUCAGCAAAAUACAAUAAGUGCUUAGCUUGAUCUUCUAGCUCUUUGAAAAUUGGAUUUUUAUCCUGGUGUUGAGUUCUGGUGUUCAGCUGAACGUGGUUUUGUUUUAAAUUCUACUUUUUAAAAAACAUUUAUUAGCUUGUUCCUUUUCUACUUCACCCCUCUUCCUUCCUCCAACCCCAAAUAGCCUAAGACAAUGGAGUCAUAUAGCCCAACACUUGGUCUAUAUACAGCAGUCCACUUUCUAGGCAAAUGCAGUUUUAAAACUGUGCCAUAGGCCAGGCGCCGGUGGUUCAUGCCUAUAAUCCCACCACUUUGGGAGGCCGAGGCAGGCGGAUCACAAGAUCAAGAUACCGAGACCAUCCUGGCCAACAUGGUGAAAUCUCGUCUCUACUAAAAAUACAAAAAUUAGCUGGACGUGGUGGCAUGCGCCUGUAGUCCCAGCUACUCAGGAGGCUGAGGCAGGAGAGUCGCUUGAACUCACGAGGCGGAGGUUGCAGUGAUCUGUCACGCCACUGUACUCCAGCCUGACGGCAGAGCGAGACUCCAUCUCAAAAAAAAAAAAAAAAAAAAAAACUAUGAUGUAGUUACAGUUGGUUUCCAUGUCAGAUGGAUGUAAUACUGUGAUGUCAUUAACUUCUUUGAAAUGCUUCAUAUACAACUGCUAUAGUUAACUGAAUUCAAGCUGCAUCUUAAGAAUUAUGGUUUCGUUUUUGUUUUAGUUUUAAAUUACUUUUAUUUUUGACAUUUACAAGCACAAGGAAGAUGCUAUAAUCUCUCUUGAGUUGUCACCCAUCUCUAACAGUUUUCAACUCAUGGACAAUCUUUUGGCGUAAAUAGGGGAGAGUUAGAGACUUAAAUCCCACACAUCAUUUCUUUCCCCAGUGAAUAAUUCAAUGUUUAUUGGAUUUCUCUGUCACCUAUACCUAGUUUAUGUUCAUUUUGCCUGUGUUAUUGUGAAUGUCUUUUUAUAGUAUCCUAAAUAGGGCUCAUAUAUUGCAUUUGGUUGAUGUUCCUUAAGCUUUAUUUUGUUGUUGUGUUUUUGUUUGUUUGAGACGUAGUGUUGCUCUGUCACCCUGGCUGGAGUGCAGUGGUCCGAUCAUGGCUCACUGCAACCUCCGCCUCCCGGAUUCAAGCGAUUCUCCUGUGUCAGCCUCCCAAGUAGCUGGGACUACAGAUGCACGCCAGCUAAUUUUUCUAUUUUUAGUAGAGACGAGGUUUCACCAUGUUGGCCAGGAUGGUCUCAAUCUCCUGACCUUGUGAUCUGCCCGCCUUGGCCUCCCAAAGUGCUGGGAUUACAGGUGUGAGCCACCACGCCCGGCCAUUUUGUUGUUUUUUUAUCUAUAACAAUUAUAUAUAUAAGUAUAUUUUUAAUGUGCCACUUAUUAAUUGAAGAAAGUGGUCGUUUAUGCUAUAGCAGUCCUAUAUUUGGGUUUUAAUCAUUACAGGGUAACACUGAGCUUGUUCCAAUUGCCUAUAAAUAGGAAGAUCCAGGUGCAAUUGGGUGGGAUGGUGGACAAAAACACAUCAUAGAUGGUAUUGUGUGCUUUCUAAGACAUCAGGAGGCCCAGAAUGUCCAGACAUCUUACUUUUGACUGAUUGACCUUAUCUAGUUGGUGCUCUUUAACAUGUUCCCCAUCCCCUGUAAAUCCUAAUAACUAAACUGAUAAGAGUCAUCCUCAAAAUUGAGCAGGCAUCUGAAUCAUCUGGUAUACUUACUAAAAUUCCAAUUGCUGGUCCCCAAUUUCUGACCCAAGAUUCUGCAUUUUUAGCAAUUUGUUGCUGAUACUUCUGGUCUGGGGCCCAUACCUUGAGAACCCCUGGUCUAGAGGCCUGAUAAGAUUCAGGCUUAAUUUCUUUUACAGACAUACUUCAUAAGUAGUAUUGAUAGUUUCCUUGAACCUGGUUUUUAAUAAUCUUUCUAAUGAUGAAGGAGGAAUGUUCUCAAUACUGACAGUAAUCUCAGUUCUUCAAACUAUAGGAUAGGUUUCUAUAGCCACAAUAGUAUUUUUGUCACAAGGGCCCAAAUAAGAAUACAUCAUGUAUAUUUUUAGUACUUAUUCAAAUUACAAAUUCACUGUCUUUAAUUUAUUCUAACAAAAGUAAACCUAAUUAUAUAGUUAUAAAAAAGAAGAAAUCUACUUUUAGUCACCUAAGAGUAAAACUGCCCCAUAUAAAAAACAAGACAGAAAUCUCAAAAUUAUAACUAAUUUUAUAGUUAUAAAAUUAACCAGGACUUUAAGAACGUUUGCAUUUUAAAAUUAAAGUUUUCAAAAGUUUUCAAUACAACAAUGAUACUAUCUCAAAAUACUCAGCAUGUCUAACAGGCCUCUUUUAAAAGCUCAGCAUGUUUAAUGUAGAUGUUGCUAACGUCCAGGUGGCUCCUGUAAGUUAAGGGUCCAUUGAUUUAGAAGUUCUAAAAGAGACUAACCUAAGGGAUACCAAUAACAGAUAUUUUUAAAGAAUUUCCUAGAGGAGAUACACAUUAGAAACCCAGAACUCUAAGAUGUGCAUUUGCUAAGUCCUGUAAAGAGACUGGAAAACACAUUUACAUUAGUUUGCCCUUUAAAGAUUAUUUCCUACUUGUCUCUUAUCAAUGUGAGUACAUAAAAGAGACCUUAUUACAAUUAAAAACAAUGAUGGUUUAGCAGCAGAUUUAGAUACCUUACAUUCUCUCUUUAAGAGAGAGAAUGUAAGGCCUGGCGCGGUGGCUCACACCUGUAAUCCAGCACUUUGGCAGGCCGAGGAGGGUAGAUCACCUGAGGUCAGGAGUUCGAGACCAGCCUGGCCAACAUGGUGAAACCCCGUCUCUACUCAGAAUACAAAAAUUAGCCGGGCGUGGUGGCGCAUGCCUGUAAUCCCAGCUACUUGGGAGGCUGAGGUAGGAGAACUGCUUGAACCCAGGAGGCAGAGGUUGCAGUGAGCCGAGAUGGUGCCAUUGCACUCCAGCCCGAGCAACAAGAGCAAAACUCCUAUCUCAAAAAAAUAAAUAAAUAAAAAUAAAAAAAUAAACUACAAGAUGGUUCAAAAGAAAUUACACAGAAUUCAGCAUGGGAGAAACAAAAAACAAUAGUGGGAAAAGACAUCAAACAUGUUUUUACUAAUCGAAGUUCUAAAAGGAGAGACAAGAAUACAGCACAGAUAAUAUAUGAAGAGAAUGGCUGGAAAUCUUUCAGAACUGUUGAAGGAUAUCUAUCCACAGAUUCAAAAACCCAAUAAAAUCUCAAGCAGUAUUAAAAAAAACAGAAGAAAUCUACUUCUAGUCACAUAAGAGUAAAACUGCCCCUAAAAAAGACAGAGAAAUCUCAAAAGCAGCCAGAGAAAGAAGACACAUUGCCUCACAAUAGACUUCUCAACAGCAUUGGUGUAAUACUAUCUCAUGUACUAAAAGAAAUACCUGCCAACCUUUUAUAUUUUCCAAGAUCUCUUCUGGAAAACAAAAACUUUAAGAAUCUGCCUUCACUGAAAAUUCUUAAUGAUGUACUUCAAGCAAAAAGAAAAUUUCCUAGGUAAAAGGUCUAAGAUGCCAGAAAGAAAGACAUGCAAAGGAAACUUACCACCAUAUUACAGAUAUGGACUGUCAGUCUGACUGGUCACACUAGGGGCAUUUUGUUACCAAGGCCUUGAAAAUAAUAACCAACACUGCAUACAUGAGGGAUGCCAGAAGAAAGGUCUGAGAGCCACUCUUCCUGGCACUGAAGGAAACAGGGCCCAUCAGAGCAAACAAGUACCUUUUGCCUCUCUCAUCUCCUUGGAAGCAAAUGUUUAUAAUCUCUGGUUUUGUGUAAAGUUUAUAACAGUAUUUUUCAUUCAGGUUGCUACCUAUUAGUGGAUGGUGAAAUUAAUUUGGUGGAUCACAUUCAGAAUAUUUUUUUUUUAAUCAAAAGAAUACAAGCUGGGCUCAGUGACUCACACCUGUAAGCCCAACAGUUUGGGAAGACCAGGCAGGAGGAUUGCUUGAGAACAGGAGUUCAGAAUCAACCUGGGCAACAUGGCGAGACCCUAUGUCUACAAAAAUUUUAAAAUAUGCCAGAUCUGGUGGCAUGUGCCCAUAGUCCUAGCUACUCGGGAGGCUAAGGCAGCAGGAUUGUUUGUUAUAAGGAGUUUGAGGCUGCAGUCAAACUUCUGGUCGAAAUCCUGGUCACGCCACUGCAUUUCAGCCUGGGCAACAGAGUAAAACCCCAUCUUUAAAAAAAUAUUAAGAAAUAAAAAUAAUAUGUGAAACGUUAGAAUAUGUUGAAUCUGGUAAGGAUAAGCAAUUAUUUCUUGAAACUCUACAUAUAUACAUGAGUGUUGGUAAAUACCUGACUGUAUCAUCAGCUCUAGAUAUAAAAUGUUUAUGAUGUUGGCUGUGAGUUAAUGAGGAAUAGUUUUCCUUUCUGUGGGUUUGGGUGUAUUUGGGAAACAUUAGCUUAGGGGGUAAAGUAGGUUACCCAACUCUGAAAAGCAGCAUCAAAAUCUUUAUAAUAAACACAUAUUAGGGGCCCAACUUAAAUUUCAAGCAGAUGUCAUGAGCUGCUCAGAGUAGCGUGUUACAACUCUGCGUUAUAAGGUAAAAUGACUUAGAGUGUAGCAGUAGUCCCCAAACAAUGUCAAAUAGACAGUGGUAAGUAUAGAUUGCUCUUCUCCUUGCAUCACAAAUGUUAAUUCACCCUGCCCCCACACGCAUUAAAACUCAGCAUAUUUCACAAAUUGAGUGUUUCAUUUCUAUUUGAGAUAGACUUAUGGUAAGUCAGCUUUGCUCCCCAAAUAAGUUAGCCAUAUAGUACUUCUAUAUGCAAAAUUUGAAUCUCAAUUUUACUACUCAAGCCGGAAGUAAAAGUCAUUUUUCUAUAUCUUCUUUGCUCCCAGACUGGGUUACAGUUUACAGAUCUGAAUAUUGUCACUUGUACACCAUACAUACACAGAGGUCUAAAACUCUCUACAAGUAAAUAAAGAAAAAAAGCCCAGCAACCCAAUAGGAAAAUAGGCCAAGCCUGUUAUAGGCUUUUUGAUCAUCUCCAGACUGGCAGGAAGAGAAUGCAUACUCACACUGUAAGUGCCUGAUUUGAUUUGCAGAGGAUAUAGAACCUUAUCAGAAAACAGCCUUCCAAGGCAAGAGCAAAUGCACCCUAUCUAAGCACAGCUUUUCUCCAAUUCUUAUUUACCUAAGGAGAUGAAUAGCUGCCAGGAACAUUGUUUGCACAAGGGCAGGAGCCUGCCAGAUCUGAGAACACAGCAAAAUUUUUAUUUUGUCAAAAAUCUUAUAUUCAGCUUACACCAUUCAUUUCAGGUGAACAUACAACAGUCUGCAUUUCAGUUUAGGGAGAUGUUUACAGUCGUCUGGUUCUCUUUAUUCUUGGGAACAAGGUUACCUCACUUGGAACACAUAACCAGUGCCAAGUUGUCCAUCCCUAAGCAAUAUCGCUUCCUCCUACUUUCUAGAAGUUCUUCAGAUUGUGGAAGACAGACUUUUCAGAAUUCUUUGCCCUCAUUCCCUCCUCCAGAAAUGCAUGCCUUUGUAUAAUCUCUUCCCCUUGAGAGCCAGUAGGCUAACCUAAUGAGUUAUUUUUAACCAGUAGAAUACAACAAGAAUGAUAGAUUACAAGAGAUUGUGGCUUCUAUCUUGCUAGCGGACUCUCUCUGUCUUCUCUGUUUGCACACUUUGUUGAAGCAAGCUACCAUCCCAGAGGCAAGGAACACAGGCCAUCAGUUUAGCAGCCUUGAGGAACUAAAUUCUUCCAACUACCACAUAAGUUUGGAAGUAGAUUCUUCUCCAGUCCAGCCUUCAGAUGAGACCCCAGCCAUGCCAACAUCUUGAUUGCAGCCCUGUGAGAGACCUUGAAAUAGAACCAUUUCUGAUCUCCUGACCCACAGAAACUGUGAAAUAAAUAUGUGUUAAGGUACUAAGUUUGUAGUAAUUUGUUACGCAGCAGAUUGUAAAUAACACGCAGAUAAAACCAGACAGAACAGAAAAAUAAAAUGGCUUUAACUCUAGAAAGUUUCCCCAUGUAAAAUUUUGAAAAUGCUACUCUGCCUAAGGUCAAACUGUCAUACAUAUAUAUGUAUGAAAACACAGAAAGGUGUCUGGAAGGGUAAUACCAAAUUAAAUCUUUAUCCAAGAGGAAUGAAAACCAGUAUUCACACAAAAACCUAGGCACAAACCUUGUGAAUAUAUUAAAAACCAGUGAAUUAUGCACUUUAAAAAGGUGAAUUAUGUGGUAUAUGAAUUAUAUCUCCAAAACAUUUAAUUAAAAACCUGUACACAAUUAUUCAUAGAAACUUUCUUUAAAAUUGCUAAAAACGAGGAAGAUCUCAGUUAUCCUUCAACUGGCAAAUGAAUAAACAAACUGGUACAGCCAUGCAAUUGAAUACUGCUCAGCAAUAAAAAAGAAUGCACUGCCAGUUCAGCAACAUGGAUAAUUCUCAAAUGCAUUAUGCCAGUUGACAGAGGUCAGACUCAAAAUACUAUGUACAGUGUGAUUCUACUUAUAUGACACUCUGAAAAAAGCGGAACUAUAAGGACAGAAAACAGGUUAGUGGUUGCCAAGGAGUGGGAGAAGCAGCCAGGGAGAACUUUGAGGAGGUAAAAAUGUGCCAGGCCUUGGUCGGUGGUGGUACAUAACUGUGCAUUUGUCAAGACUCAGUGCUAUAUGCUGAAAAGGGCAGGUUUUACUAUAAGUAAGUUGUACCUCAAAAAACAUGAUUUUUGAAUGAUUAAAACUUUGGUUUUUGUUUGUUUUGGUUCAGUUUUAAGGUUUACCAUAAAUCUAUUGGUUUUAGAUUCUAAGUUGUAUAUAAGCUUCUGUUUUAAAAGAAUUUUUUUUAAAAUCCUCUUAUCGUCAACAAUAUUUAGUUGUGCUGGAAAUUUUAUUUUGGAAUUGUUUAAUAGCGAAAGACAAUAAAUAAUGUUCAAGAACAGACAUUGAUUCAUAACAUCAAAGUAUAUUGUGAGAAGAUGGUAUUUCAGAAUAGAGGAAGAAUUUCUUAUGUGCUGAUGAGGAAGAAAAUGCUUCCCGUUAUUCUGGAUGAGCAUCCUAUCUUCGUAGUUGGUUUGGACUUCCAAUCGGUUGAUGGAAGGAAUACUGUUAUUAACCAAAUAGAAUCUGUUUACAAAAAUGGUUCGUGUGUGUUAUCAUCAUUCUUUUGUCAAAAAGUGUGUAUAUAUGUUUGCAUUUACAUAUAUUUGUACAUCUGUAUGACAGAUGUAUUUUAAAAGUUUCAACUUGAAGUAAAAGUACAACAGCUUGAAGUGUUGAUACCAGGCCACAGCCCUCUAACUCAUGUGAUCUCCCAUGCAUGCUGCCAGAAUAAAACCACCAGGAAUGAAUUCACUCCCCACUUCUCUGGAACCUCAGGACCCGCGCAUUUCUCGGCAGUACUGUGAAUUUUGAAGUUAAACUAAAUUUUGGUACCAUACCAACUGGAAUUUAGGCUUUAAAAAUAAUGUUUCAAGGCCAGGUGUGGUGAUUCAUGCCUGAAAUCCCACUACUUUGGGAGGCUGAGGCUGGAGAAUCGCUUGAGGCUAGUGAGCUGUGAUUGUACCACUGCACUCCAGCUCGGGGAACAGAGCGAGACCUUGUCUCUAAAAAUAAUAAUAGUAAUAAAAAUAACGUUUUAUGACUAUUUAUUGCAAGGUCAGAUUUACAGAUUGUUAUAAAUUGUUGAGAAAUUUUUGUGAUUAGAAUAUGAAGGAAAAAGCUUUGUUGGUAAAAGUGACAUGUUAAGGAGCUAUGAAGUAAAUAUGCUGCAGUGAAUUAUGCUAAGUUAAAAUACAGUUUAGUUAUUUGCUUUAAAAUAAACUCCUUUUUUUCUUUAAAGUAUACUAUCUCAAAACUCAUUAUGUUGUCAGAGCCCUAGAGCUGGCUAGUGUAACACUGACUAUAAAUAGGUGGGCCCACCACUUGAGUUGAGGUGAUUUCAUGGUGUCUUUCCAGGCUCUUGAUAGGGUGUCACUGCAUGCAAGCCAUGAAUCUGUUUUGAGAAUCCUCUCCAUUUUCCCAAAUAAAAACCUAUCCCAACAGUGACUAUAUCACUCAGCAUUGGAUCUAAAUAUAAAACUGGUGCUUUCAGUGUUUUUGGCAGAUAGUGUUCCAUAAGCUUUCCAUCAGAAGGGAUUUUAGACACCUUAGAGGUCCGUGCUACAUCUUCACAGUUCCUCCGAAUAACCUUAGUUGGUAGUGUUACUUGCCUUUGACACCUCUGCAUAUGUUUUAAUGACUAGAUCCAAACUGUGUUGUUCUUAAAUCAAAAAUUGGAUAAUUUUUAAUAUUUAUGUAUUAAUCACACAGUAUGCUCUCUGAAGUUCUCUUAAGCUUUCAGUUUAUACUCUUAAUUUUCUUUCUGAGCUGGGGAACUGAUUUUGCACUUUGGUUACACAGAACAUUGGUUUCCAAUUUAGUUUAACUGAAAUUUGCUGCUGAUAUGUUGAGUUUGUUCUUUUAAAAAUAUCUCAUAUAUCUCGUCUUUCCUCCUUAGAAGAACAGACCUAACUAGCGAAUGUAUGAAUGAAAAUGCAUCUAUUUCAGAGCCGACAUGAAGAGUUUAGUUUUUUUACUUUAUAAACUGUGAAUAUGAGUAUGCCAGCUGCAUACGAUGUAACUAAUCGUAUUUAAAUAUAUUUCACUUUGACUUUAGACCUUUUGAAGUCUGUAUAAACUUGUUUUGAAAUACAGUCUCCACUUACGAAUGUCAUAACAAAAUACUUUUUUGCAUGAUAAAAAAUUACUUUGAUUACAAAAGGCAUAUUCUUUCAUGGUUUCUGCAAUGAGAGGAAGUGUAGUGAUUAUUUUAAUAUUUCUAUUAAAUAUGUUUAACUGUA